UGGGGAAUAUUGGACAAUGGGCGCAAGCCUGAUCCAGCCAUGCCGCGUGAGUGACGAAGGCCUUAGGGUUGUAAAGCUCUUUUGGCGGGGAAGAUAAUGACGGUACCCGCAGAAUAAGCUCCGGCUAACUUCGUGCCAGCAGCCGCGGUAAUACGAAGGGAGCUAGCGUUGUUCGGAAUCACUGGGCGUAAAGCGCACGCAGGUGGGCAGUUAAGUCAGGGGUGAAAGCCCGAGGCUCAACCUCGGAAUUGCCUCUGAUACUGGCUGUCUAGAGUUCGAGAGAGGUGAGUGGAAUUCCUAGUGUAGAGGUGAAAUUCGUAGAUAUUAGGAAGAACACCGGUGGCGAAGGCGGCUCACUGGCUCGAUACUGACACUGAGGCGCGAAAGCGUGGGGAGCAAACAGGAUUAGAUACCCCAGUAGUCCCUGAGCGGGCUGGCAAGGCGCAU
rnacentral:rRNA from 1 species